GCAUGCAAGUCAAACGGGAUGUAGCAAUACAUUCAGUGGCGAACGGGUGAGUAACGCGUGGAUGAUCUACCUAUGAGAUGGGGAUAACUAUUAGAAAUAGUAGCUAAUACCGAAUAAGGUCAGUUAAUUUGUUAAUUGAUGAAAGGAAGCCUUUAAAGCUUCGCUUGUAGAUGAGUCUGCGUCUUAUUAGCUAGUUGGUAGGGUAAAUGCCUACCAAGGCAAUGAUAAGUAACCGGCCUGAGAGGGUGAACGGUCACACUGGAACUGAGAUACGGUCCAGACUCCUACGGGAGGCAGCAGCUAAGAAUCUUCCGCAAUGGGCGAAAGCCUGACGGAGCGACACUGCGUGAAUGAAGAAGGUCGAAAGAUUGUAAAAUUCUUUUAUAAAUGAGGAAUAAGCUUUGUAGGAAAUGACAAAGUGAUGACGUUAAUUUAUGAAUAAGCCCCGGCUAAUUACGUGCCAGCAGCCGCGGUAAUACGUAAGGGGCGAGCGUUGUUCGGGAUUAUUGGGCGUAAAGGGUGAGUAGGCGGAUAUAUAAGUCUAUGCAUAAAAUACCACAGCUCAACUGUGGACCUAUGUUGGAAACUAUAUGUCUAGAGUCUGAUAGAGGAAGUUAGAAUUUCUGGUGUAA
rnacentral:rRNA from 1 species